rnacentral:misc_RNA from 1 species
AAGUCGUAACAAGGUCUCCGUAGGUGAACCUGCGGAGGGAUCAUUACAGAGUUCAUGCCCUUACGGGUAGAUCUCCCACCCUAUGUUAUUAUUACUUUGUUGCUUUGGCGGGCCGUCAGGCUUCGGCCCAGCUACCGGCUCAGGCUGGUAAGUGCCCGCCAGAGGACCCCAAACCCUGAAUAUUAGUGUCGUCUGAGUACUAUAUAAUAGUUAAAACUUUCAACAACGGAUCUCUUGGUUCUG